rnacentral:rRNA from 1 species
UACGUAGGGUGCGAGCGUUAAUCGGAAUUACUGGGCGUAAAGCGUGCGCAGGCGGUUCGCUGUGUCCGAUGUGAAAGCCCCGGGCUUAACCUGGGAAUGGCAUUGGAAACUGGCGGGCUUGAGUGCGGCAGAGGGGGGUGGAAUUCCACGUGUAGCGGUGAAAUGCGUAGAGAUGUGGAGGAACACCAAUGGCGAAGGCAGCCUUCUGGGCCAACACUGACGCUCAUGCACGAAAGCGUGGGGAGCAAACAGG